CGAAAGCCUGACGGAGCAAGACCGCGUGAGGGAGGAAGGCUCUAGGGUUGUAAACCCCUUUUCUUUGGGAAGAACAAAAUGACGGUACCAAAGGAAUCAGCCUCGGCUAACUCCGUGCCAGCAGCCGCGGUAAUACGGAGGAGGCAAGCGUUAUCCGGAAUGAUUGGGCGUAAAGCGUCCGCAGGUGGCGAUUCAAGUCUGCUGUCAAAGCACGGGGCUUAACUCCGUAAAGGCAGUGGAAACUGAAGGACUAGAGUGCGGUAGGGGCAGAGGGAAUUCCCGGUGUAGCGGUGAAAUGCGUAGAUUUCGGGAAGAACAUCGGUGGCGAAAGCGCUCUGCUGGGCCGCAACUGACACUCAGGGACGAAAGCUAGGGGAGCG
rnacentral:rRNA from 1 species